rnacentral:rRNA from 1 species
CAUAGCCACGGUAAUACGGAGGGGGCUAGCGUUGUUCGGAAUUACUGGGCGUAAGGCGCACGUAGGCGGUUUUUUAAGUCAGAGGUGAAAGCCCGGAGCUCAACUCCGGAAUUGCCUUUGAGACUGGAAGACUUGAACGUCGGAGAGGUGAGUGGAAUUCCCGGUGUAGCGGUGAAAUGCGUAGAGAUCGGGAGGAACAUCAGUGGCGAAGGCGGCCAUCUGGGACAACACUGACGCUGAGGCACGAAAGCGUGGGGAGCAAACAGGAUUAGAUACCCGCGUAGUCCCUGUCUCUUAUACA